rnacentral:lncRNA from 1 species
GGCCGCGCCUCACGCGGGCCGCGGCGGGACGGGCGUUGCGGCCAACGGGACGCAAGGGCUGAGCAGCGAGCUCGCCGCUUUGCUCUUGCAAAAUGUAGGGUCACAGCCCCCGAAAGAGCCGAGGGCCGCUCCCCGCUCUGUGGCCCGAGUUCAAUUCUUAAGUCCUAAUCUUGGUGGCCAGGCUGGUCUUCACGUUGCCGUCAACAGGAGUCGGGAGUACACAGACGCAGGAGACUAA